ACGAACGCUGGCGGCAUGCCUAACACAUGCAAGUCGAACGAGACCUUCGGGUCUAGUGGCGCACGGGUGCGUAACGCGUGGGAACCUGCCCUUAGGUUCGGAAUAACUCCCCGAAAGGGGUGCUAAUACCGGAUAAUGUCUUCGGACCAAAGAUUUAUUGCCUUUGGAUGGGCCCGCGUUGGAUUAGCUAGUUGGUAGGGUAAAAGCCUACCAAGGCGACGAUCCAUAGCUGGUCUGAGAGGAUGAUCAGCCACACUGGGACUGAGACACGGCCCAGACUCCUACGGGAGGCAGCAGUGGGGAAUAUUGGACAAUGGGCGAAAGCCUGAUCCAGCAAUGCCGCGUGAGUGAUGAAGGCCUUAGGGUUGUAAAGCUCUUUUACCCGGGAUGAUAAUGACAGUACCGGGAGAAUAAGCUCCGGCUAACUCCGUG
rnacentral:rRNA from 1 species